CCUACGGGAGGCAGCAGUGGGGGAUAUUGCACAAUGGGGGGAACCCUGAUGCAGCGACGCCGCGUGGGUGAAGGAGUGCUUCGGCAUGUAAAGCCCUAUCGGCAGGGAAGAAGCAAGACGGUACCUGACUAAGAAGCCCCGGCUAACUACGUGCCAGCAGCCGCGGUAAUACGUAGGGGGCGAGCGUUAUCCGGAUUCACUGGGUGUAAAGGGAGCGUAGACGGCCAAGCAAGCCAGGGGUGAAGUGCCAUUGAUACUGCCUUGCUGGAAUGCGGAUGCGGUGGGAGGAAUGUGUGGUGUAGCGGUGAAAUGCAUAGAUAUCACACAGAACACCGAUUGCGAAGGCAUCUCACGAAUCCGCGAUUGACGCUGAUGCACGAAAGCGUGGGUAUCAAACAGGAUUAGAUACCCCGGUAGUC
rnacentral:rRNA from 1 species